rnacentral:rRNA from 1 species
UUGGUUAAGUUAGAAAGGGCGCACGGUGGAUGCCUUGGCACUAGGAGCCGAAGAAGGACGGGACUAACACCGAUAUGCUUUGGGGAGCUGUACGUAAGCGUUGAUCCAGAGAUUUCCGAAUGGGGGAACCCACUAUCUUUAGUCGGAUAGUAUCCUUACGUGAAUACAUAGCGUGAGGAAGGCAGACCCAGGGAACUGAAACAUCUAAGUACCUGGAGGAAGAGAAAGAAAAAUCGAUUUCCUGAGUAGCGGCGAGCGAAACGGAAAGAGCCCAAACCAAGAAGCUUGCUUCUUGGGGUUGUAGGACACUCUAUACGGAGUUACAAAAGAAAGUUAUAAAUGAAGCGGUCUGGAAAGGCCCGCCAAAGACGGUAACAGCCCGGUAGUUGAAAUAGCUUUCCCUCCAGAGUGGAUCCUGAGUACGGCGGAACACGUGAAAUUCCGUCGGAAUCCGGGAGGACCAUCUCCCAAGGCUAAAUACUCCCUAGUGACCGAUAGUGAACCAGUACCGUGAGGGAAAGGUGAAAAGCACCCCGGAAGGGGAGUGAAACAGUUCCUGAAACCGUGUGCCUACAAGUAGUUAGAGCCCGUUAAUGGGUGAUAGCGUGCCUUUUGUAGAAUGAACCGGCGAGUUACGAUUUGUUGCAAGGUUAAGCGGAAAAAGCGGAGCCGUAGCGAAAGCGAGUCUGAAUAGGGCGCAUAAGUAACAGGUCGUAGACCCGAAACCAGGUGAUCUACCCAUGUCCAGGAUGAAGGUAAGGUAAUACUUACUGGAGGUCCGAACCCACGCACGUUGAAAAGUGCGGGGAUGAGGUGUGGGUAGCGGAGAAAUUCCAAUCGAACUUGGAGAUAGCUGGUUCUCUCCGAAAUAGCUUUAGGGCUAGCCUCGAGGUAAAGAGUCAUGGAGGUAGAGCACUGUUUGGACUAGGGGCCCUUCUCGGGUUACCGAAUUCAGAUAAACUCCGAAUGCCAUGUACUUAUACUCGGGAGUCAGACUGCGAGUGAUAAGAUCCGUAGUCGAAAGGGAAACAGCCCAGACCACCAGUUAAGGUCCCCAAAUAUAUGUUAAGUGGAAAAGGAUGUGGGGUUGCUUAGACAACCAGGAUGUUGGCUUAGAAGCAGCCACCAUUGAAAGAGUGCGUAAUAGCUCACUGGUCGAGUGACCCCGCGCCGAAAAUGUACCGGGGCUAAACAUAUUACCGAAACUGUGGAUGAACCUCU